AUGGUAGUGUUUCACAAAUUCUAUAGCCUGGCUACGGGUGAUUUUGGUGCUAUCAACAAAUCCCUGAUCGUGCUUUUGCCAAAGAAGAACGGUGCAACCCAAGUGGGGGACUAUCGCCCAAUAAGCCUCAUCCACUCUGUGGCCAAGUUGAUCGCCAAGGUGUUAUCUGUCAGGCUGUCGAGUGUCAUAAACCAGAUCAUAUCUCCUGUGCAGAGUGCGUUUCAGAAGAAGAAAGGAAUUCAUGACAGCUUCUUGUAUGUGCACAACACGGUGAAGCACUUAUACCGCAAGAACAAGCCAGCCCUGCUCCUCAAAUUAGACAUCGCCAGGGCCUUCGAUAGUGUUUCAUGGGAGUACCUGCUUGAGCUGAUGUAG
rnacentral:rRNA from 1 species